rnacentral:rRNA from 1 species
UACGUAGGGGGCAAGCGUUGUCCGGAAUCAUUGGGCGUAAAGAGCGUGUAGGCGGCUCGGUAAGUCCGCUGUGAAAGUCCAGGGCUCAACCCUGGAAUGCCGGUGGAAACUGUCGGGCUAGAGUCCGGAAGAGGCGAGUGGAAUUCCUGGUGUAGCGGUGAAAUGCGCAGAUAUCAGGAGGAACACCAAUGGCGAAGGCAGUGUUCUGGGCCAGUACUGACGCUGAGGAGCGAAAGCGUGGGGAGCAAACAGG